GAACUGCUGACCAAUUCUCAGUGGCUGCCUGUGCACUCCUCUCUUCUGUGGGGAACUGCUGGAUGGGCACAGAGGGUACCUGCACAGCCUCAGACCAGUCGGCCACCUCAGGCUGAGCAGCAGUGAACUCAGGAGCUGGUGGAGUCCAUUUACCCUGGAAUUCCUCUUUGGUCACAGCCUUCUCAGCAGCAGCCUGCACCUCCUUCUCAAUCUCCUCUGGGUCUCUGUAGAAGUAAAGAUCAGGCAUAACCUCCCAUGGGGGCUCAUGGGAGAUAAUACCUAGUAUGCAGAGUACUUCCCUGGCCAGCAUCCACCACAUCAGACCCACUGAAUGUACUGCUCCAUCUGCAAGUCAAGGUGGUGCCACCUAACUGGGUUCCUGCAGCAAGGAAUUUGAGGACAUCCUCCUUCUUCAUCUGCAGGACGUCAAGGGCUCCGGAUAUUGUAUUCAAACAGGACCAUGGGCAGAGAGAGGAGAAUGAUACAUGGGAACCACAGGAGAGACUCAUGGCAGCAAGGACUAAAGCUUUAUUGCCAGGCAUACCCUGAGCUGUCAAGUUGCAGCCUGGAAUGUUUACAGCUAUGUUUUAACCUCCUGACAAUGAGACUCUGCAAUGGAAAGGCUGCCAGACCUUCAAAUAUAGUGAUGGCACUCUAAUAUU
rnacentral:lncRNA from 1 species